CGAAGGCAGGUCUCUGGGCCGUCACUGACGCUGAGGAGCGAAAGCGUGGGGAGCGAACAGGAUUAGAUACCCUGGUAGUCCACGCCGUAAACGGUGGAUGCUGGAUGUGGGGCCCGUUCCACGGGUUCCGUGUCGGAGCUAACGCGUUAAGCAUCCCGCCUGGGGAGUACGGCCGCAAGGCUAAAACUCAAAGAAAUUGACGGGGGCCCGCACAAGCGGCGGAGCAUGCGGAUUAAUUCGAUGCAACGCGAAGAACCUUACCUGGGCUUGACAUGUGCCGGACGGCCGCGGAGACGCGGUUUCCCUUCGGGGCCGGUUCACAGGUGGUGCAUGGUCGUCGUCAGCUCGUGUCGUGAGAUGUUGGGUCAAGUCCCGCAACGAGCGCAACCCUCGCCUCGUGUUGCCAGCACGUUAUGGUGGGAACUCACGGGGGACCGCCGGGGUUAACCCGGAGGAAGGUGGGGAUGACGUCAGAUCAUCAUGCCCCUUACGUCCAGGGCUUCACGCAUGCUACAAUGGCCGGUACAACGGGAUGCGACAUGGUGACAUGGAGCGGAUCCCUGAAAACCGGUCUCAGUUCGGAUCGGAGCCUGCAACCCGGCUCCGUGAAGGCGGAGUCGCUAGUAAUCGCGGAUCAGCAACGCCGCGGUGAAUGCGUUCCCGGGCCUUGUACACACCGCCCGUCAAGUCAUGAAAGUGGGCAGCACCCGAAGCCGGUGGCCCAACCCGCAAGGGGGGGAGCCGUCUAAGGUGAGGUCCGCGAUUGGGACUAAGUCGUAACAAGGUAGCCGUACCGGAAGGUGCGGCUGGAUCACCUCCUUUCUACGGAG
rnacentral:rRNA from 1 species